CGCGCAGGCGGUUUUGUAGGUCAGAUGUGAAAUCCCGGGGCUUAACCCCGGAAGUGCAUUUGAAACCAUGAGACUUGAGUAUGGGAGAGGGAAGCGGAAUUCCUGGUGUAGAGGUGAAAUUCGUAGAUAUCAGGAGGAACACCGGUGGCGAAGGCGGCUUCCUGGACCAAUACUGACGCUGAGGCGCGAAGGCGUGGGGAGCAAACA
rnacentral:rRNA from 1 species